GUGACCUCAAAUCAGGUAGGACUACCCGCUGAACUUAAGCAUAUCAAUAAGCGGAGGAAAAGAAACUAACAAGGAUUCCCUAGUAACUGCGAGUGAAGCGGGAAAAGCUCAAAUUUAAAAUCUGUCAGUCUUUGGCUGUCCGAGUUGUAAUCUAGAGAAGUGUUAUCUGCGCUGGACCAUGUAUAAGUCUCC
rnacentral:rRNA from 1 species